UACGAAGGGGGCUAGCGUUGCUCGGAAUCACUGGGCGUAAAGGGCGCGUAGGCGGGCUUUUAAGUCAGGGGUGAAAUCCUGGAGCUCAACUCCAGAACUGCCUUUGAUACUGAAAAUCUUGAGUCCGGGAGAGGGGAGUGGAACUGCGAGUGUAGAGGUGAAAUUCGUAGAUAUUCGCAAGAACACCAGUGGCGAAGGCGGCUCACUGGCCCGGUACUGACGCUGAGGCACGAAAGCGUGGGGAGCAAACAGG
rnacentral:rRNA from 1 species